AACGGGGACUGUGAUGGGUAGGGGAGCGUCGUGUGCCGGGUGAAGCAGCCGCGGAAGCGAGUUGUGGACGGUUCACGAGUGAGAAUGCAGGCAUGAGUAGCGAUUCACACGUGAGAAACGUGUGCGCCGAUUGACUAAGGGUUCCUGGGUCAAGCUGAUCUGCCCAGGGUAAGUCGGGACCUAAGGCGAGGCCGACAGGCGUAGUCGAUGGAUAACCGGUUGAUAUUCCGGUACCCGCUGUGAAGCGUCAAAUAUCGAAUCUUCUGAUGCUAAGGCCGUGAAGCCGCCCUGAUCUCUUCGGAGUUGAGGGGAGUGGUGGAGCCGCCGGCCCAAGGGGGUAGUAGGUAAGUGAUGGGGUGACGCAGGAAGGUAGUCCAGCCCGGGCGGUGGUUGUCCCGGGGUAAGGGUGUAGGACGUUCGGUAGGUAAAUCCGCCGGGCAUGUGUCUGAGACCUGAUGCCGAGCCGAUUGUGGUGAAGUGGAUGAUCCUAUGCUGUCGAGAAAAGCCUCUAGCGAGUUUUAUGGCGGCCCGUACCCUAAACCGACUCAGGUGGUCUGGUAGAGAAUACUGAGGCGUUCGGGUGAACUAUGGUUAAGGAACUCGGCAAAAUGCCCCCGUAACUUCGGGAGAAGGGGGGCCAUUCCUGGUGAUCGAAUUUUCUUCGUGAGCUGGGGGUGGCCGCAGAGACCAGCGAGAAGCGACUGUUUACUAAAAACACAGGUCCGUGCGAAGCCGUAAGGCGAUGUAUACGGACUGACGCCUGCCCGGUGCUGGAACGUUAAGGGGACCGGUUAGUCA
rnacentral:rRNA from 1 species